GAUGAAGAACGCAGCGAAAUGCGAUAAGUAAUGUGAAUUGCAGAAUUCAGUGAAUCAUCGAAUCUUUGAACGCACCUUGCGCUCCUUGGUAUUCCGAGGAGCAUGCCUGUUUGAGUGUCAUGAAAACCCUCAACCUUAGAUUGGUUAAAACCUUUCUUUGGCUUGGAUUUGGACGUUUGCCGAUGAUAAGUCGGCUCGUCUUAAAAGUAAUAGCUGGAUCUGUCUCGCGACAUGGUUUGACUUGGCGUAAUAAGUAUUUCGCUAAGGACAUCUUCGGAUGGCCGCGUUGCAAGACUAAAGACCGCUUUCUAAUCCAUUGAUCUUCGGAUUAAUAUUCUUGACAUCUGGCCUCAAAUCAGGUAGGACUACCCGCUGAACUUAAGCAUAUCAAUAAGCGGAGGA
rnacentral:misc_RNA from 1 species